AACGCACCUUGCGCCGCUCGGUUUUCCGAGGGGCACGUCUGUUUGAGUGUCACGUUACUCUCUCACUUCCCUUCGGGUGAAUGUGGACUUGGACCGUGCUGUCGCCCUUGCGGUGUACGGCUCGUCUCGAAAUGUAUCGUGCCAGCGGAUGCCAUGCGCAACGCGGGCCGACGAAACGGUGUGAUAUUUUACUAUCUGCGCUGAAGUAGUCGGACUGGCGAUGCUGCACUUAGCAGUGCUCCGGGCUUACAAUGUGAAACGGCGUCUUCGGGCGUCGACUCAUCUUUAAGCGUUUGACCUCAAAUCAGACGGGACUACCCGCUGAACUUAA
rnacentral:misc_RNA from 1 species